UACGAGAGGCCCAAACGUUAUUCGGAAUUACUGGGCUUAAAGAGUUCGUAGGCGGCAUGAAAAGUAGGGUGUGAAAGCCCUCGGCUCAACCGAGGAAUUGCGCUCUAAACUGUCGUGCUAGAGGAAGCUAGAGGUGAGCGGAACUGAUGGUGGAGCGGUGAAAUGCGUUGAUAUCAUCAGGAACACCGGAGGCGAAGGCGGCUCACUGGGCUUUCUGACGCUGA
rnacentral:rRNA from 1 species